GCCCUGCCAGCUAGUACUCAGGGGCCUCUAGGGCCUCCAUGACGGAGAGCAGGGGACAGGGAGACAUCUUGGCCCCCAGUCUUGUCUUCCAGCAGGACUAAGAUGUUAAGGAAGAAACUCUAAAAGAUGGGCUGCUGGAGUGCUCGGUGUCGAGGGGGGCUCCUGGGCCAGACAGGUGUUGGUCCUGCCGCUAGGAGGGGCCCGGCGAGGGCGAGUAAGGUCAGGCCAGCGGGGUGAAGGGGGGAGGGGGGGCCCCAGGAGUCCCAGUCUGGACAGCGGCCGGCAGCGAAGCCCGGAGACAGGUAAGGGGUCCGGCUGGGCCUUCUGGCACAUCUGGGGGCACCCUCACACCAGCAGCUCUUUCCCGCCUCUGGGAGGGAGUCUUUGCCCUGACCAAUCGGCGCCGAGAGGGUGGGGCAGGGGGGCCAGGAGGCUCGGGGAUUGGUGGAGCGGCUGUGCGCCCCGGGGCAUGCCGGGAGCGGUGGUGGCCUGAGCGCAGCCGUGUCUGAGCCCUGAGCCGGGGAGCGGGGAGCCCAGCGUUUGGGGGGGGUAACCCGAGCCCUCGAAGCCCUUGAAGCUGCGGGGGUGGCUUAGCUUCAGUGUUUUGGCCGAGAACACCCUUAAAGCUUAAAAUAAAACCUGCCUGUGGGGUGUGGGGAGGACCGAGGCGUAUGCGCAUCAGCACGCCCCCCCCCCCCAUACCCUCCUCGGCUCUGGUUUGGGGAACAGGAUGCCGAGGGCUUGGACCAGAGGGGCCGGAGCCCCCCCACUCCGCCCCCCGCCCCCCGCAGCCCCGUGGAUGCUCCAGAUCCCCGACCCACACCCCGGCCGGCCCCAGAUGCCCUCCCACACUUACGAAGGAAAUGCAGGCGGCCAGGAGAAGGAUCCGCACCAGGAGGUCUUCAAACUGCUCUAUCACCAACUCCCACAGGGACUUCCCUGGGAGAAGAGGCAGGGGAGGGGGCCCCCACGGUUAAGGUCUGGUGGAUGAAUGGCUGGGACUCCAGGUGCAGGCUGGGAUCCAGGGGCUGAGAGUGGCCUGAUUUCCACAGCCUAAGCAGGAAGGUUCUGGGGGUGAUGGGCAAGCCGCUUGGUACUGAGAGAAGGACUGAGGGAGCUCGCCAGGAGUCCAGAAACAGGCUCCCCAAAGUUGUGGUUAGUUGUUCAAGGGCUGGAGGCCUCACAGAGAAAGUACCGGGACUCUCCUGCCCCCAGCCAGCCUUUAUUUAACCUUUGGGGAGGGUAUUUGCCCCAGGAGUCAGUCGGGAGAAGGUGGAGAGAAGGGAGUGGGGGGUGUGGGGAGGAGUGUCAUUAAGAGAGUCCAGAGAUUCCAGUAACUUACCUUCCUCAGCAGGGAGCUCUACCCAGGGAAAAAGAAGAAAAAGACACAUUCAUUUGGGGCUCAGUCUAAUGCCCCCCCCCCAGGAUUCUGUGGCUAAGGUGAGGACACUGAGGCCUGGAGAGGCUAACACCUGGCCUAGGCCAAACAGCAAAGGAGAGGAAAAGCUAGGAGUGAAAGCCAGUGCUCUCUGUCAUCUACCCCCCAGCUUCCCAGCCUGGCCCCGAGAAGGGGAGCAGCCAGCCUGCCCUGGGCCCCUCUGCACCCAACACGGCCACUGUGCCCCAACCCCGCCCCCCCGAUCUCCCUCUGCCUGCUCUCUCCCUCGGGUGGGAAGCCUUAACUGAAGAACUUAGAGCAAGAAGGGUCCCUGGAGGUUGCCGAUCCUGCUGUUCACUGUCCGGCCCCGUUAAGAGAACUUGGCCGCAAACCCCGAGAAGCACUAUUGGGCUCCGCACUUACCGCUCAACAAACAGGACCGCCCACGGAGGAGCAAUGGGCCGAAAGCACAGGGCUGGAGGGCAACAGGGACUUGACCUGACGCAGCCUUCUGGCCUCUCAGCUCUGGAGCGGCCAACGCCGAGUGGGCUGCUUUCCUGCCCCACCUGCCCCAGCCCCCGCUGCAAACAGUGGCCACAGCCAUCACGACGGAACUGAGAUAAACCCUUUUAUUUAUU